UACGGGGGGGGCAAGCGUUGUUCGGAAUUACUGGGCGUAAAGGGUUCGUAGGUGGCCGACUAAGUCAGACGUGAAAUCCCUCAGCUCAACUGGGGAACUGCGUCUGAUACUGGUGGGCUUGAGUGCAGGAGAGGAACGCGGAAUUCCAGGUGUAGCGGUGAAAUGCGUAGAUAUCUGGAGGAACACCGGUGGCGAAGGCGGCGUUCUGGACUGUAACUGACACUGAAGAACGAAAGCCAGGGGAGCAAACGGG
rnacentral:rRNA from 1 species